UACGUAGGCAGCAAGCGUUGUUCGGAGUUACUGGGCGUAAAGGGUGUGUAGGCGGUUUUUUAAGUUUGGUGUGAAAUCUCCCGGCUCAACUGGGAGGGUGCGCCGAAUACUGAAAGACUAGAGUGCGGGAGAGGAAAGUGGAAUUCCUGGUGCAGCGGUGAAAUGCGUAGAUAUCGGGAGGAACACCAGUGGCGAAGGCGGCUCUCUGGACCUCUGCUGACGCUGAGGCGCGAAAGCGUGGGGAGCGAUCCGG
rnacentral:rRNA from 1 species